GACGAACGCUGGCGGCGUGCUUAACACAUGCAAGUCGAACGGAAAGGCCCUGCUUGCAGGGUCCUCGAGUGGCGAACGGGUGAGUAACACGUGGGUGAUCUGCCCUGCACUUCGGGAUAAGCCUGGGAAACUGGGUCUAAUACCGGAUAGGAGCCAUUUUUCGUGUGAUGGUUGGAAAGUUUUUUCGGUGUAGGAUGAGCUCGCGGCCUAUCAGCUUGUUGGUGGGGUAAUGGCCUACCAAGGCGGCGACGGGUAGCCGGCCUGAGAGGGUGGACGGCCACAUUGGGACUGAGAUACGGCCCAGACUCCUACGGGAGGCAGCAGUGGGGAAUAUUGCACAAUGGGCGCAAGCCUGAUGCAGCGACGCCGCGUGGGGGAUGACGGCCUUCGGGUUGUAAACUCCUUUCGCUAGGGACGAAGCUUUUGUGACGGUACCUAGAUAAGAAGCACCGGCUAACUACGUG
rnacentral:rRNA from 1 species